UACGAAGAUUAUUUGGGAGAGAAAACCAAAGGGGAUUUGAAUGUCAAGGUGGAGCAUCUUGAGGCCUUUGGAAUUGAUAGUCAAGCAACUUUAAAAGGUCCAAUGGAGGAAGUAGCCAGGGUUGAGGCUGAAGAAGCUGAAGACUUGCUCAGAGACUUGGGUAUCCCGACUCCUUUUUCGUCAAGACAAUCACCUCGUGACAUUUUUUGUAGCCGCACGUUGAAUCUUC